GCUGGGCAUGACGGUGCAUGCCUGUAAUCCCAGCUACUUGGGAGGCUGAGGCAGGAGAAUCUCUUGAACCCAGGAGGCGGAGUUUGCAGUGAGCUGAGAUGGUGCCACUGCACUCCAGCCUGGGUGACAGAGUGAGACUCUGUCUCAA
rnacentral:SRP_RNA from 1 species